rnacentral:rRNA from 1 species
GAGUUUGAUCAUGGCUCAGAUUGAACGCUGGCGGCAGGCCUAACACAUGCAAGUCGAACGGUAACAGGAAGCAGCUUGCUGCUUCGCUGACGAGUGGCGGACGGGUGAGUAAUGUCUGGGAAGCUGCCUGAUGGAGGGGGAUAACUACUGGAAACGGUAGCUAAUACCGCAUAAUGUCGCAAGACCAAAGAGGGGGACCUUCGGGCCUCUUGCCAUCGGAUGUGCCCAGAUGGGAUUAGCUUGUUGGUGGGGUAACGGCUCACCAAGGCGACGAUCCCUAGCUGGUCUGAGAGGAUGACCAGCCACACUGGAACUGAGACACGGUCCAGACUCCUACGGGAGGCAGCAGUGGGGAAUAUUGCACAAUGGGCGCAAGCCUGAUGCAGCCAUGCCGCGUGUAUGAAGAAGGCCUUCGGGUUGUAAAGUACUUUCAGCGGGGAGGAAGGGAGUAAAGUUAAUACCUUUGCUCAUUGACGUUACCCGCAGAAGAAGCACCGGCUAACUCCGUGCCAGCAGCCGCGGUAAUACGGAGGGUGCAAGCGUUAAUCGGAAUUACUGGGCGUAAAGCGCACGCAGGCGGUUUGUUAAGUCAGAUGUGAAAUCCCCGGGCUCAACCUGGGAACUGCAUCUGAUACUGGCAAGCUUGAGUCUCGUAGAGGGGGGUAGAAUUCCAGGUGUAGCGGUGAAAUGCGUAGAGAUCUGGAGGAAUACCGGUGGCGAAGGCGGCCCCCUGGACGAAGACUGACGCUCAGGUGCGAAAGCGUGGGGAGCAAACAGGAUUAGAUACCCUGGUAGUCCACGCCGUAAACGAUGUCGACUUGGAGGUUGUGCCCUUGAGGCGUGGCUUCCGGAGCUAACGCGUUAAGUCGACCGCCUGGGGAGUACGGCCGCAGGGUUAAAACUCAAAUGAAUUGACGGGGGCCCGCACAAGCGGUGGAGCAUGUGGUUUAAUUCGAUGCAACGCGAAGAACCUUACCUGGUCUUGACAUCCACGGAAGUUUUCAGAGAUGAGAAUGUGCCUUCGGGAACCGUGAGACAGGUGCUGCAUGGCUGUCGUCAGCUCGUGUUGUGAAAUGUUGGGUUAAGUCCCGCAACGAGCGCAACCCUUAUCCUUUGUUGCCAGCGGUCCGGCCGGGAACUCAAAGGAGACUGCCAGUGAUAAACUGGAGGAAGGUGGGGAUGACGUCAAGUCAUCAUGGCCCUUACGACCAGGGCUACACACGUGCUACAAUGGCGCAUACAAAGAGAAGCGACCUCGCGAGAGCAAGCGGACCUCAUAAAGUGCGUCGUAGUCCGGAUUGGAGUCUGCAACUCGACUCCAUGAAGUCGGAAUCGCUAGUAAUCGUGGAUCAGAAUGCCACGGUGAAUACGUUCCCGGGCCUUGUACACACCGCCCGUCACACCAUGGGAGUGGGUUGCAAAAGAAGUAGGUAGCUUAACCUUCGGGAGGGCGCUUACCACUUUGUGAUUCAUGACUGGGGUGAAGUCGUAACAAGGUA